rnacentral:rRNA from 1 species
UACGUAGGGGGCGAGCGUUAUCCGGAUUUAUUGGGCGUAAAGCGUGUGUAGGCGGUUUGUUAAGUCUGAGAUUAAAGCCCGAGGCUCAACCUCGGUUCGUUUCAGAAACUGGCAGACUUGAGUGUGGUAGAGGCAAGUGGAAUUUCUAGUGUAGCGGUUAAAUGCGUAGAUAUUAGAAGGAACACCAGUGGCGAAGGCGGCUUGCUGGGCCAUUACUGACGCUGAGGCGCGAAAGCGUGGGGAGCAAA